AGGUAUCUGCCUAGUAGUGGGGGGACAACCUGGUGAAAACCAGGCUAAUACCGCAUAAGAUCUACGGAUGAAAGGAGGCCUCUUCUUGAAAGCUUUCGCUAUUAGAUGAGCCUAUGUCAGAUUAGCUAGUUGGUAGGGUAAUGGCCUACCAAGGCGACGAUCUGUAGCUGGUCUGAGAGGAUGAUCAGCCACACUGGGACUGAGACACGGCCCAG
rnacentral:rRNA from 1 species